GACAGUGUGGUGUAGUAGUUAGAGCAUGGGACUAUGAAUCUGUAGACUAGGGUUCAAAUCCCUGCUUGGACA